GUGGGGCAGGCAGAGGUCAGCCUGCACUGACCCAGCCUGACACACAAGGGACCUCCUCUGCCCUGAGACUGUGAGGCAGGCUGACAGCAUGCCAAGGGCAGUAUCCUGGGAUGAGGAGACUUUGGAUGACUGUGCUGUGCUCUCAGACCUGCUGCUUGUUCCUUAAAAGCCAGGGAGUCUCUUGGCAGACUAAGCAUCUCAGGGUCUGCUGCUUCUGUACCCCUGUGGCCCUCCUCUAGCCACUACUGCCCCUGAUUUGUGCCUCCUCCUUGUCCCCACGUCAAGAGAGAGCAGCGGGACGAGUGGACCCUUCGGAAUCCUACCUGGGGCUUCCCUUCCAGGUGGAAGGGAAGUAGGAGCCAAGAUGCAGACUCCCUGACCGCAGGCGCUGGGCCAGCCACAAUGCCAUCUUGCCCCUACCCUGGUUUAUGAUUGUUUUUCACCUUUGGGCCCUUGGCCAGAGAAUUCCCUCUGCCUCCAAUGUACGCCAUCCCCUCCUUUCCUUUCUGCCUGGGACACUCCUGCCUAUGUGCAUGGGCCAGGUCUGGCCUGCUGCCCAUUACUAUGUGGCCAUGAGCUAAGAAUGGUUUUAUGUUUUUAAAUGGCUGGAAAAAACAUCAAAGGAAGAAUUCUAUUUUGUGACAUGUGAAAAUUAUCUGAAAUUCAAAUAUCAGUAUCCACAAAUAAAAUUAAAUUGGAACAUAGC
rnacentral:lncRNA from 1 species